CACACGUCAUACGAAUGGAUGGUACAAAGGGUCGCCAACCCGCGAGGGGGAGCCAAUCCCAUAAAGCCAUUCGUAGUCCGGAUCGCAGUCUGCAACUCGACUGCGUGAAGUCGGAAUCGCUAGUAAUCGUGGAUCAGAAUGUCACGGUGAAUACCGGUUCCCGGGUCUU
rnacentral:rRNA from 1 species